rnacentral:misc_RNA from 1 species
UCCUUGUUUCCAAGGCAGUCCCGCUAGAGUGCUUGCUUUCGCCGAGCAACUAGCGGCAAGGGUUGCGCUCGUUCAAGGACUUAACCCGACGUCUCACGACACGAGCUGACGACAGCCAUGCAGCACCUGUUCAACCGUCCGUAUUGCUACGGAACCCGAUAUUUCUACCAGUAGCGAUUGUAUGUCAAGCCCAGGUAAGGUUCCUCGCGUAGUGUCGAAUUAAACCACAUGUUCCACCGCUUGUGCGGACCCCCGUCAAUUCCUUUGAGUUUUAAUCUUGCGACCGUACUCCCCAGGUGGAUCACUUAACGCGUUAGCUUCGACACGGAUUCUGCUAUGCAAAACCCACAUCUAGUGAUCAUCGUUUACGGCGUGGACUAC